rnacentral:sRNA from 1 species
GCCAGGUGUGGCGGUGCAUACUUGUGAUCCCAGGAACUUGGGAGACUGGGGCAGGAGGAUUGCAAGUGAGAGGCCAGCCUUAGCAACUUAACAAGACCCUGUCUCAA